rnacentral:rRNA from 1 species
UGGGGAAUAUUGCACAAUGGGCGGAAGCCUGAUGCAGCGACGCCGCGUGGGGGAUGAAGGCCUUCGGGUUGUAAACUCCUUUCGACAGGGACGAAGCUUUUGUGACGGUACCUGUAUAAGAAGCACCGGCUAACUACGUGCCAGCAGCCGCGGUAAUACGUAGGGUGCGAGCGUUGUCCGGAAUUACUGGGCGUAAAGAGCUCGUAGGUGGUUUGUCGCGUCGUCUGUGAAAUUCCGGGGCUUAACUCCGGGCGUGCAGGCGAUACGGGCUGACUUGAGUGCUGUAGAGGAGACUGGAAUUCCUGGUGUAGCGGUGAAAUGCGCAGAUAUCAGGAGGAACACCGAUGGCGAAGGCAGGUCUCUGGGCAGUAACUGACGCUGAGGAGCGAAAGCAUGGGUAGCGAACAGG